rnacentral:rRNA from 1 species
AACAAGGAUUCCCCUAGUAACUGCGAGUGAAGAGGGAAAAGCUCAAAUUUAAAAUCUGGCGGGCUCUGCUCGUCCGAGUUGUAAUCUGGAGAAGCGUUUUCCGCGUCGGACCGUGCACAAGUCUCCUGGAACGGAGCGUCAUAGAGGGUGAGAAUCCCGUCCAUGGCACGGACCGCCGAUGCUUUGUGAUACGUUUUCAAAGAGUCGAGUUGUUUGGGAAUGCAGCUCAAAACGGGUGGUAAAUUCCAUCUAAAGCUAAAUAUUGGCGAGAGACCGAUAGCGAACAAGUACCGUGAGGGAAAGAUGAAAAGCACUUUGGAAAGAGAGUUAAACAGUACGUGAAAUUGUUGAAAGGGAAACGCUUGAAGUCAGUCGCGUCCGACGGAACUCAGCCUUGCUUCGGCCUGGUGUACUUUCUGUCGGACGGGUCAACAUCAGUUUUGACCGGUGGAAAAAGGUAGGGGGAAUGUAGCGCCGCUUCGGCGGCGUGUUAUAGCCCCUUGCUGUAUGCAUCGGUCGGGACUGAGGACCGCAGCACGCCUUUUUGGCCGGGGGUUCGCCCUACGUACCGUGCUUAGGAUGUUGGCAUAAUGGCUUUAAGCGACCCGUCUUGAAACACGGACCAAGGAGUCCAACAUGCUUGCGAGUGUUCGGGUGGAAAACCCUUGCGCGUAAUGAAAGUAACAGUUGGGAACCUCCGCAAGGGGGUGCACCGACGCCCGGCCCUGAAGUUCUCUGACGGUGCUGCGGUAGAGCAAGUAUGCUGGGACCCGAAAGAUGGUGAACUAUGCCUGAAUAGGGCGAAGCCAGAGGAAACUCUGGUGGAGGCUCGUAGCGAUUCUGACGUGCAAAUCGAUCGUCAAAUUUGGG